CCUACGGGGAGCUGCAGUGGGGAAUAUUGGACAAUGGGCGAAAGCCUGAUCCAGCCAUGCCGCGUGUGUGAAGAAGGCCUUCGGGUUGUAAAGCACUUUCAGUGGGGAAGAAAGCCUUGGGGCUAAUACCCUCGAGGAAGGACAUCACCCACAGAAGAAGCACCGGCUAACUCCGUGCCAGCAGCCGCGGUAAUACGGAGGGUGCGAGCGUUAAUCGGAAUUACUGGGCGUAAAGCGCGCGUAGGCGGUCUGAUAAGCCGGUUGUGAAAGCCCCGGGCUCAACCUGGGAACGGCAUCCGGAACUGUCAGGCUAGAGUGCAGGAGAGGAAGGUAGAAUUCCCGGUGUAGCGGUGAAAUGCGUAGAGAUCGGGAGGAAUACCAGUGGCGAAGGCGGCCUUCUGGACUGACACUGACGCUGAGGUGCGAAAGCGUGGGUAGCAAACAGGAUUAGAUCCCCCGGUAGUC
rnacentral:rRNA from 1 species